ACGAACGCUGGCGGCGUGCUUAACACAUGCACGUCGAACGGAAAGGCCCUGCUUGCAGGGUACUCGAGUGGCGAACGGGUGAGUAACACGUGGGUGAUCUGCCCUGCACUUCGGGAUAAGCUUGGGAAACUGGGUCUAAUACCGGAUAGGAGCCAUCUUUAGUGUGGUGGUUGGAAAGUUUUUUCGGUGUAGGAUGAGCUCGCGGCCUAUCAGCUUGUUGGUGGGGUAAUGGCCUACCAAGGCGGCGACGGGUAGCCGGCCUGAGAGGGUGUACGGCCACAUUGGGACUGAGAUACGGCCCAGACUCCUACGGGAGGCAGCAGUGGGGAAUAUUGCACAAUGGGCGCAAGCCUGAUGCAGCGACGCCGCGUGGGGGAUGAAGGCCUUCGGGUUGUAAACUCCUUUCGCUAGGGACGAAGCUUUUUUGUGACGGUACCUAGAUAAGAAGCACCGGCUAACUACGUG
rnacentral:rRNA from 1 species